rnacentral:lncRNA from 1 species
AGUGGCCAGCCUGCAUGCUGGUGCCUGGCGGUGCGUUCCUCUAGACGUCCAGCUGCCUGUGUAUUCCUCCACCGAGCAUUGCCCCUAGCCCAAGCAGUGGAACUCAAAUCUGUCCCUGGAAAAAAUGAGAAUGGUGACAUAAAAUGUGAGCAAUGGCUGGACGUGGUGGCUCAUGCCUGCAAUCCUAGCACUUUGGGAGGCUGAAGCAGUGGAUCGCUUGAGCUCAAGAGUUCGAAACCAGCCUGGGCAACAUGGUAAAACUCCAUCUCUACAAUAAAUACGAAAAUUGGGGCAACAGAGUGAGACUCUGUCUCAAGUAAAUACAUACAUACAUACAUACAUACAUACAUACAUACAUACAUACGUACAUACAUACAGUGUAGGCAACACGAUCAGGAGUCAAAGAAAAGUGGACAAUUUCAGUCAUUGGGAAAACAUUUGUUGAAUACUUAGUAUGUACCAAACACAGCACUGACUUCCAAGUGUGUGGUUUCCCUCCAGGGACACAUAAAACUCAAAUCCAGUCAGAUGUGCCAGGAUUGGUUUCUAUGUUUAAGUGUUCAGAGGGACUUUUUCAACCAAAGCAACUGGAAGACUUUUUGCAGCGUGUACCACUUACAUAGCUAAAGCACAUCCUAUAGUAGAUUUUUAACCUUAAACAGACAUUGUUUAACAGGUUUAAAGAAGAAGCAGGAAAACAGGAAAAUCCCAGCGGGGUGUGUGUGUGUGUGUGUGUGUGGUUUGGGAAAGGGGUGGUGGAAGGUGAUUAAAUGCUAACUUUCAUACUUUUUGGAAAUAAGUG